GGGGCUAUAGCUUAGCUCGGACAGCGCUUGCCUGGAAUGCAAGAGGUCGACGGUUCGCUCCCGUCUAGCUCCACCA
rnacentral:tRNA from 1 species